rnacentral:rRNA from 1 species
GUAUCAUGGCUCAGGAUGAACGCUAGCUACAGGCUUAACACAUGCAAGUCGAGGGGAAACGGACAUCGAAAGCUUGCUUUUGUAUGGGCGUCGACCGGCGCACGGGUGAGUAACGCGUAUCCAACCUGCCCAUCACUUGGGAAUAACCUUGCGAAAGUAAGACUAAUGCCCAAUGACAUCCCACGAAGGCAUCCGAAUGGGAUUAAAGAUUUAUCGGUGAUGGAUGGGGAUGCGU